rnacentral:tRNA from 1 species
GCACCAGUAGCUCAGUGGAUAGAGCAAUGGCCUCCGGAGCCAUGUGCGUGGGUUCGAUUCCCGUCUGGUGCACUA